UACGGAAGGUCCGGGCGUUAUCCGGAUUUAUUGGGUUUAAAGGGAGCGUAGGCCGUGGAUUAAGCGUGUUGUGAAAUGUAGACGCUCAACGUCUGACUUGCAGCGCGAACUGGUCCACUUGAGUGUGCACAACGCAGGCGGAAUUCGUCGUGUAGCGGUGAAAUGCUUAGAUAUGACGAAGAACCCCGAUUGCGAAGGCAGCUUGCGGGGGCACGACUGACGCUGAAGCUCGAAAGUGCGGGUAUCGAACAGG
rnacentral:rRNA from 1 species